GUUAAAUGGGGGAUUUGCGAAGAGAAAACGCGUGAUUUUCGCUUAAAUGGGGGAUAUGAGAAAACGCGUGAUUUUCGUUAAAUGUUGGAUUCUCGAGGAGAAAACGCGUGAUUUUCACUUAAAUGUGGGAUUUGCUAAAAGAAAACGCGAGAUUUUCGGGUGAAAUGGAAGAUUCCUGAAAAGAAAAUGCGUGUUUUUUGCUUAAACGGCGGAUUUGUGAAGAGAAAAUGCGUGUUUUUGCUAAAAUGGGGGAUUUGCGAAGAGAAAACGCUUGAUUUUCGGGUUAAAUGGGGGGUUAUUGAAGAGAAAAGACGUGUUUUCAACGUAAAUGGGGGAUUUGCGAAGAGAAAACACAUCAUUUUCAGGUUAAAUGGGGGAUUCUCGAAGAGAAAACGUGUGGUUUUCGGGUUAAAUGGGGGAGUUGCGAAGAGAAAACGCGUGAUUUUCGCUUAAAUGGGGGAUUCGCGAAAAGAAAACGCGUGAUUUUCGCUUAAAUGGGGGACUUGAAAGAGAAAACGUGUCAUUUACAUGUUAAAUGGAGGAUUAUCGAAGAGAAAAUGUGAUAUUCGCAUAAAUGUGUGAUUUGCGAAGAGAAAACGUGUGAUUUUUGCUUAAAUUGACGAUUCUCAAAGAGAAAACGCGAGAUUUUCGCUUAAAUGGGGGUUUUGCGAAGGGAAAACUUGUGAUUUUC
ensembl:lncRNA